GCCUCGGUGGCUCAGUGGUAAAGCGUCGCACUCGUAAUGCGAAGAUCCCCUGUUCGAUCCAGGGUCGAGGCA
rfam:Pleurotus ostreatus PC15 unplaced genomic scaffold scaffold_07, whole genome shotgun sequence.